UACGGAGGGUGCGAGCGUUGUCCGGAAUCACUGGGCGUAAAGGGCGCGUAGGCGGCGCGGUAAGCGUGCGGUGAAAGUCCGGGGCUCAACCCCGGAUCGGCCGUGCGGACUGCCGGGCUGGAGCACUGUAGGGGCGGGUGGAACUCCGGGUGUAGCGGUGGAAUGCGUAGAGAUCCGGAAGAACACCGGUGGCGAAGGCGGCCCGCUGGGCAGUGGCUGACGCUGAGGCGCGACAGCGUGGGGAGCAAACAGG
rnacentral:rRNA from 1 species